UGGGGAAUCUUGCACAAUGGGGGAAACCCUGAUGCAGCGACGCCGCGUGAACGAUGAAGCCCUUCGGGGUGUAAAGUUCUUUCGGCAGGGAAGAUAAUGACGGUACCUGCAGAAGCAGCUGCGGCUAACUACGUGCCAGCAGCCGCGGUAAUACGUAGGCAGCGAGCGUUGUUCGGAGUUACUGGGCGUAAAGGGUGCGUAGGCGGUUGUUUAAGUUUGGUGUGAAAUCUCCCGGCUCAACUGGGAGGGUGCGCCGAAUACUGAAUGACUAGAGUGCGGGAGAGGAUAGUGGAAUUCCUGGUGUAGCGGUGAAAUGCGUAGAUAUCAGGAGGAACACCGGUGGUGUAGACGGCUAUCUGGACCGUAACUGACGCUGAGGCACGAAAGCGUGGGUAGCAAACA
rnacentral:rRNA from 1 species